CACCUAGUGGGGAAACGACAUCUCACAUUUAAAGAACACCAGGCGUUUCUACACAGCGGGGGAAGGAAAUCCGUCCUGAUUUUAAACUUUGGCACAGCUGUGAAACCGAGGGUAGUGAACUCUGAGGAGAGGACUCUUUUCUGGACAUACAUUUAACGUCCGUGAAAGCCUCAGACCCCCUGAGCACACCUGCCUAGCCGUGUUGUGGACGAACAAGGGCUGACGAAAUGCCUGUGGAGGCUGAUUUCACCGGAGUCAGGGGAAGUCAGUCUAAGCAAAGAGCAGGGGCACGGAUGAAAAUAACAGAACAGUGACCCAGAAUCCUGGCUGUGGCCUCAUGAAACAGGUGCUGUUAAAAUCAGCUGCAUUGGAAACAGCCGAGUCAGGCAACGAAGGCACAGAG
rnacentral:lncRNA from 1 species